AUCUAUGGGACAAUGAGAAAUCUGAGAGUGGAACAUGGAGGGGAACAGAGAGGGAGCGGCUCACUUGGAGGGCUGCAACACUCGAAGGGGACACCUGAGUCAAGAUGUCCCGGGGAGCUAAGGGAGGAUCCAUGACACAAACCGCCUUGCUGUUGAUGCACCAACAUGCUGAAGGAUCACCUUCCUCAUAGGAGAUGAAGAAGAUAUGGAGGGUCCUCAGAGACACAGAGCUGAUUGUUCAAUAGAAGAUGGGCAGCUAUGAAACUAGAUAUCAAGAGACCCAAACUAUGACAAAUCAUCAUCGCAUAGUUAUCUCCUUACUUGAGAAAGAAGAUUCUGAGAUGGACCACAUCUGAGCUGGACAAUAUUUGAUCCAUACUGUCUUGAACUGGGCUGUGUCUGAACCAGACCACCUCUGACACUGCCUUCUCAGGCCUUCUUCCACUCCCUUCUUGAGUUCUUUGCCUCUUCAUAUCAAAUAAGAACAGAGAUUUCUGCUCACAGAGUUUUGCUACUACAUUCACUCUCCAAGUCCUCUCUGUGAACAUUGGUCUCUGUCUGCCCAGGAAGGUCACUAGUCUUGUGUCACUAUAAAAAACCUGAGUGAACAGC